UUGGAGGGCAAGUCUGGUGCCAGCAGCCGCGGUAAUUCCAGCUCCAAUAGCGUAUAUUAAAGUUGUUGCAGUUAAAAAGCUCGUAGUUGAAUUUCGGGGUUAGUAGGUUGGUCAUGCCUCUGGUAUGUACUGAUCUCACUGAUUCCUCCUUCCUGAUGAGCCGUAAUGCCAUUAAUUUGGUGUUGCGGGGAAUUUGGACUGUUACUUUGAAAAAAUUAGAGUGUUUAAAGCAGGCUUAUGUCUGAAUAUAUUAGCAUGGAAUAAUGAAAUAGGACGGCAUGGUUCUAUUUUGUUGGUUUCUAGGAUCACCGUAAUGAUUAAUAGGGAUAGUUGGGGGCAUUAGUAUUCAAUUGUCAGAGGUGAAAUUCUUGGAUUUAUUGAAGACUAACUUCUGCGAAAGCAUUUGCCAAGGAUGUUUUCAUUAAUCAAGAACGAAAGUUAGGGGAUCGAAGACGAUCAGAUACCGUCGUAGUCUUAACCAUAAACUAUGCCGACUAGGGAUCGGACGAAGUUAAUUUUAUAAUGACGCGUUCGGCGCCUUACGGGAAAC
rnacentral:rRNA from 1 species